CAUGGAGGGUGAGAAUCCCGUCCGGCUGACCUUCAGGACGUUUUACGAUACGCUCUCAAAGAGUCGAGUUGUUUGGGAUUGCAGCUCAAAAUGGGAGGUAAAUUUCUCCUAAGGCUAAAUACCGGCGAGAGACCGAUAGCGAACAAGUACCGUGAGGGAAAGAUGAAAAGAAUUUUGAAAAGAAAGUCAAACAGUACGUGAAAUUGUUGAAAGGGAAACGAUUGAAGCCAGUCGUACCGACGGGAAUUCAACUUCUCGAGUGCUAAUCGUGGGUGACGUUGAGCCUCACGGCCUUCGUUGCUUGUGUUGUUGGUGCUUUUGGGGUGUACUUUUCCGUAUGGUAGGUCAGCAUCGAUUUCGAUCGUCAUAAAAUGAUCGGGGGAAUGUAGCUUCGGUCUCGUAUCGGAGUGUUAUAGACCUUGGUAGAUGUGACGAUUGGGAUCGAGGAUUGCAACGAAUACCCUUUUGGGCUAUCCGUCUGUCCUCUGAAAGUCGCUCGGGUGUCGAAAGCUUGCUUAUGGCUAUUCGAGUUGGCGGUCAACAGGUUAGAACGUGAUUACAUUCGUUAAGGAUGUUGACGUAAUGG
rnacentral:rRNA from 1 species